UUGACGUGACGCCUAUAUUUUCUGUCCGACUACAUUUUCUCAGUUAAAAGAAAGGUUUAAAUACUCCAAGAAAUAUCAUAUAUAUGUACUACCUCUCCCAUAUAUGUACCCACUGUAAUUUUCCUGAAAAAUAUUAGUUAUUUGUAAUGUUUCUGUUAUUUAAGGUGUCAAAUAUCAUGUGGUGCGACCGUCCGGUCAUGACUGCCGAUGGAAAACUUCUUUGAAAUUACUCUAAAUCUAUUCAAAUUUAUUUUCUACCCUAUUUGGCAUGAUUUCCAAAGUGUUUUUUAGUACUGUACACAAUUGCAUAGCAUUUGUAUAAAUACUUCCAUCAUAGUAUACAAACAAACUUUUUCCGAUGAUGUCCAUUUGAUGAAAUAUCAUGUGGUGCGACCAUCAAGAAACUACCAAUUUGGGACUUUUAUGCUGAAAUCCAUUCAUAGACAGGAAGUUGCAUGAUACACCAUUUUGCCAAGGACCCAUGGAAGAAAGAACAGGUUUGUAACUCUCUCUCAAAUUUGGAAAAAAAUAACCUUUUUAAGAGCUGGUAUGUAGUUGCCACAUUUGGAUAUCAUGUGGUGCGACCUCAAAAAAACUAUGAAUUUUAAGUUAUUUCCUAAAAUAUAUAUUUCGAUCAUACAUUUCAUAGUGACCUUUUGUGCUAACUUAGCUUGUUUUCUUUAGGAGUCCAAUUCUGUGCCUGUUAAUUUGGACUGAACUAGAAGUUAUCAUGUGGUGCGACCAAAUAUCGUGUGGUGCGACCAAAUAUCAUGUGGUGCGACCAUGCGAUAUAUGUCCUAGAUUAAGAGUUUUAGUGGUUUUAUGUUAAAUUAAGGAUGUAUAUACAUAAAAUACUUAUUUUAGUAUUAUUUAGAAAAUAUUUUUAUGCAAUUUGAUAAUUUUUUCCUUAUAUUUCAGAAACAAUGGUUUGUUUAAUGUUGUACAAUAUUUUGAUAAAAUAUCGCCAACAAAUUUGAGCAUGUAAUUUCACUUUUGUAAUAUUCAUUUAUUAUUUAUUUAUGUAUAUGUAUAACUGUUUUAAUUUAUUUUACCAGAUGCCACUUCCAAGCAAAAUAAAAACCGCUCGCCAUAGGCAGCGUGUUAAUUCUGACCCUGCAGCAAGAGCGAAGUACCUUGCUCGGAGAAGAUAAAGCUACCAGAGGAGAAAACAGCAGGGAAGAUUCAAUAUGCUAAGUCAAGUGAGCUGACAGAGAGAGAGAAAAAGAAACAGAGAGAAAAUGGAGAGCUUCCUCAAGUGCGUACAGGGAAAGGAAAAAUAUGGCAAAUGCUUUGCUAGAAAUUACGCCGCCAUCAAUGGAGAACAUUCCACAAGAUCUGGUUGAUGUGAUUGUAACCUAUGAUGAGCCUCAAUAUGUAGGCCAGGUCCUUGAAGUUGUGGAAGAGGAAGUCCAAGAUUGGGCAAAGUUCAAAAAGGUCUGGGAUUAAAGUAAUGCCUGCGACUUAAACCAAGUGCACCACAUUUACAGGUAAAGUUUAAUGAAAUGUUUGUUCACAGCUAUGUGUGUUGCACUUCAAUGUUUGUGAGUUUUUGUUUAUUAAAAAUGUAUAUAUAAUGUUUGUGUUCAUAAAAGUUCUAUCAAAUUUGAAUAAAAUCUGGUUUUAAUACAUUU